rnacentral:rRNA from 1 species
UGAGUGAAGAAGGCCUUCGGGUUGUAAAGCUCUUUUGUCAGGGAAGAAACGGCUCAGGCUAAUAUCCUGGGCUAAUGACGGUACCUGAAGAAUAAGCACCGGCUAACUACGUGCCAGCAGCCGCGGUAAUACGUAGGGUGCAAGCGUUAAUCGGAAUUACUGGGCGUGAAGCGUGCGCAGGCGGUUUUGUAAGUCUGUCGUGAAAGCCCCGGGCUUAACCUGGGAAUUGCGAUGGAGACUGCAAGGCUUGAAUCUGGCAGAGGGGGGUAGAAUUCCACGUGUAGCAGUGAAAUGCGUAGAGAUGUGGAGGAACACCGAUGGCGAAGGCAGCCCCCUGGGUCAAGAUUGACGCUCAUGCACGAAAGCGUGGGGAGCAAACAGGAUUAGAUACCCUGGUAGUCCACGCCGUAAACGA